CCUACGGGCGGCAGCAGUGGGGAAUAUUGGGCAAUGGGCGAAAGCCUGACCCAGCAACGCCGCGUGAAGGAAGAAGGCCUUCGGGUUGUAAACUUCUUUUAUGAGGGACGAAGAAAGUGACGGUACCUCAUGAAUAAGCCACGGCUAACUACGUGCCAGCAGCCGCGGUAAUACGUAGGUGGCAAGCGUUAUCCGGAUUUACUGGGUGUAAAGGGCGCGUAGGCGGGAAAGCAAGUCAGAUGUGAAAUCCAUGGGCUCAACCCAUGAACUGCAUUUGAAACUGUUUUUCUUGAGUGUCGGAGAGGUAGAUGGAAUUCCUAGUGUAGCGGUGAAAUGCGUAGAUAUUAGGAGGAACACCAGUGGCGAAGGCGAUCUACUGGACGAUAACUGACGCUGAGGCGCGAAAGCGUGGGGAGCAAACAGGAUUAGAUACCCCUG
rnacentral:rRNA from 1 species